rnacentral:tRNA from 1 species
GAGGUGUUAGUAAAACAAUUACAUAGUCUUGUCAAGACUAAAUUACAGGUGAAAGUCCAGUACACCUCA